ACAGUACCAACUACAUUUAGAAAAAUCAACAGUAGCAUUAGGAUGCAGCAAGGAUACUGGUGUUGCCUUCAAUGCUAACCAUAGACCUAAACCUAUGCACCAUUUCAAAUGGCUUAAUCACUGUACGACAUCUGGAAUCAUAAAAUCCCGAGGAAAAAUUGCACAUUUUGCACAAUCUCCUGCUGCACAGGACAGGAAUUUUCAUGCAAGCUUCUAUAAUUAAUGUGGUCCUUCCAUCCAGAUUGUGGGCCCAAACGAUCGCCACCAUCAUGUAGUUUGAGCAA